rnacentral:rRNA from 1 species
UACGUAGGGGGCUAGCGUUGUCCGGAAUCAUUGGGCGUAAAGAGCGUGUAGGCGGCUUGGUAAGUCCGCUGUGAAAGUCCAGGGCUUAACCCUGGAAAGCCAGUGGAAACUGUCAAGCUAGAGUCCGGAAGAGGUGAGUGGAACUCCUGGUGUAGCGGUGGAAUGCGCAGAUAUCAGGAGGAACACCGGUGGCGAAGGCGGAUCUCUGGGCCAUAACUGACGCUGAGGAGCGAAAGCGUGGGGAGCAAACAGG